AACACAAACAAAAGAAUUAGCAAAGAUAAGCCGCGUUACCAAAAAGCUAUAGUUACAGAUGACAUAGUCAGAAACACAGUUCCCGUUCAAAUAAAAGAACGCAGUACAAAAGUUCCACUAAAAAACAUUAAACGCCCUUCACAGGCACCUCCGCGUCCUCCUGAUGACGAUCGUGACGACGCAAGUCCACGCCCUUCAACUUCAGGUAUUAAAUAACAAUCCCGGAGUUUUACCCGUCAAAGAAGGCACUGCUGUUUUCAGCAAAGACAAGUGGAUAAUAACAAGAGUAUUGGACUUUAAACCUAUUAGGGAAGACUUAGAUCUUAACAUUCAAUGUUUCAGGGAACUAAAUAGUUUAGUUAGUGUUAAGUUUAUUAAGAACUUUACUUAUAAUUUUAUAGAUGUAAGAGAACAAGUAGACUAUAUGCAAAAUCUAACAGUAAGCAAAUUCGAACAAAUCACUCCUACCUUUAAAAUCAAACGCGGACUGAUUAACCCAAUUGGAUGAUUAAUUAAAAUCAUCACAGGAAAUCUGGAUCACGAUUACGCCAUAAAAUACGAUAAAUUAAUUAGUGAAAUAAAAUCAGAUCAAGACGCUAAUAAUAAAAAAUUAACGUUAAUCUCUGAAAUGGUGCAAAUUUUAUCUAAUUCAACCAUUACCUUAAAUAGAAACCUCAUUCGAUUGAAUAAAGAAAUUGCAACAUUGUGGCAAAAUUAUACUGAAAAUUUACGGAUUGAACACUUUGAAGUUCAAAUCAUAUCUGCAUACAAUAAAAUAUACCAUAACCUUCAGACGAUUCAUGCUAAGCUAAGUGAAAUAGAAACUAGUUUUGCACUUAUUCUUAGUUGGUACGUCAGGUCCUGUAAUAUUUUCUUUGAAAAUAUACUGACAUAUGUCAAAUUGAAUUUUAAAAAAUUCAGAUCUCCAAUAUAAAUUAUAAUUCUAUUCCAGUAUUUACAAAAAAAUUACAAAUAUACUGUUAUCACACAUUCUUUUUUAAGACAACUAUGAAUAUCUGUGAAAGGAAUUCCAACUUCAAAAUAUGGGACAGAACCCGCACUAUAAUUUAUUAUCAUGGUUGCUAAAUGGUCAGCUUUUUCAUUGCCCACUAUGCCAAUGUGGGAUGGAACCCAAACUAGUACAAUAUUUACAUGACAAACUACAUUCAAAUAAUACAAAAGUUGUUUAAUAUUAUACACUAAAUAAUU